rnacentral:rRNA from 1 species
UACGUAGGGUGCGAGCGUUAAUCGGAAUUACUGGGCGUAAAGGGCUCGUAGGCGGCCAACUAAGUCAGACGUGAAAUCCCUCGGCUUAACCGGGGAACUGCAUCUGAUACUGGAUGGCUUGAGGUUGGGAGAGGGAUGCGGAAUUCCAGGUGUAGCGGUGAAAUGCGUAGAUAUCUGGAGGAACACCGGUGGCGAAGGCGGCAUCCUGGACCGGUAUUGACGCUGAUGCGCGAAAGCCAGGGGAGCAAACGGG